UUUGCAGCACAGUCAGCGUCCACGUCGUCACUGAGAGCUGACAGGAACCGGCACCGGCUGCUGUAUGGACCCUUUCCCGCCUGACAGACGGCGCUGAGAGCUCCGUGCAGCCUGGUUGUGAACAUGAACCACCUUUUAGUCAGAGGUGUGUCAGUGCACGGAACGCUGGUGGUACAUUUGGGAUUUUUCUGCUGCUUGCAGGAAUCUUUUCUUCCUCUUCUUCCCUCCGUCCUGCUCAGAACUCAGCCCUGACAGCAGCGCCCCCAAAAGAGCAGCUGUUGCACCUGCAGGCGGUUUGAUCCCGUCUCCUGAUCUUCCGGCGGACUCGAGCUGAUUUCCCUCCAACGCAUCAUCGACUGUUCCCCCAAAGGCCUCAGAUUCAUCCAUGAUAUCAUUCCAGUGGACCUUCAUUCCUUCUUUUGUCCAACAGGAUUUUGUUUUUUUAAGCAUGCAAUGGGGCUGACAGAAGCCCCGCUGCGACCACUGCGGCCCGCAGAAGCCUUUAUUGAGGCCCACGCCGGAUCCUCGAUCAGAAGUGGGUCCGGAACGCCCCACCUGACCCAGCCUUCCUGCCACGGCGCCUGCGGUUCCCGCCGGGAUUCAAGGCCACUCAGGCCGCAGUGCCCACAAGGACGCGCUGCUGGAGCCCGGUCCAAGGAGCGGGGGCCGCCGUUCACUCAGCUGUAGUGAGACCAGCCGUGCUUUAGAAACAUCAUGCCCCAAUAACACGGUUUACUGCAUGAAACGUGUCGCUGCUGUCUGUUUUCAGAAUAAAGCACCUUAUCUGUUAUGUAAUUAUAAAAUGACAGAUAAAUACAUCCCUGAUCUAACCUAA